rnacentral:rRNA from 1 species
UACAGAGGCCUCGAGCGUUGUUCGGAAUUACUGGGCGUAAAGGGAAUGUAGGUGGUGAUGUAAGUCAGAUGUGAAAGCCCUGGGCUUAACCUGGGAAGUGCAUUUGAUACUGCGUUGCUGGAGUGCGAGAGAGGAAAGCGGAAUUCCAGGUGUAGGAGUGAAAUCCGUAGAUAUCUGGAGGAAUACCGAUGGUGAAGACAGCUUUCUGGCUCGUAACUGACACUGAGAUUCGAAAGCAUGGGUAGCAAACAGG